AUUCGGGUUGAGUGUCAUGUGCGGUAUGGCUUUGCUGCACCAUGUUGUGCAUUACGUACUGUGUGAUUUGCUGAUUUUACUUCGAGAGUACUUGGAAGUACCUGAGCUCAAUUUCGAUUUGAAUUCGGGUUAAGUGUCACGUAGUGUCAUGUGCGGUAUGGCUUUGCUGUUCGAUGUCUUGAAUUACGUGCUGAACAUUGAUUUCAAUGUGCUCCUGCCACUGCACUAAAAAGGUCUCUAAAAAAGAUGAAGUUCUCGGGUUGCGGAAAAAGGAAAAUGAACGCUAUUCAUAAGGAAUAUUAUAGAACUCGCUAUAGAAACUUCAAGAGGAUAAUGUCAAUUCCAUAUAAUAACAAAAUUAUGAAUAUCAAUAGAAGUAGCAAGAGAAAAACUUUACCAUAAAGCAGAUAAUCUGAAUAAUAUCAAUGAAAAUAAGUUAAAUAAGAGAUGAUAUUGCAGGUAUACUGUGAAAUAUCAAACCGGAUAAUUGAGAUUUAAUAUUAUAUUUAAUCUCUUCCUUUAUGUGAUCGUUAUCCAAGGAAUAUCAAAAUGAAAUUACCACAUUACCAUAAUCGGCUGGUGUGUAUAAAUAACAAGUAUGGUUAACCGUAAAUGAACUAAUGUCAGCUGCAAUUGCCUUCCAAUUUUAAAACUAUCUUUCGAAAUAAUAGUUGUGCAUUCGUGCAUUUAUUUUCGCUAUUUUUAAUGCUUAUUUAUGAAACAUUUAGUAUUUUAUGUGUGGUGUAGUGUAGUGUAGUGUAGUGUAGUUUUUUUUUUGUGUAGUGUAGUUUAGUGAAUAGCACAUAAAGUUGCAGCUAAAAUUUCUUAUGGAAAAUACGAUGUUAGAUGAUUUGAUUUGAAAACGAGUCGAUAUUUGCAGCAAUUGAUUUCGGAUGGAAAAACUGAUGGUCAGUUAUCCGAAGGUUCUGAUCAUCAACAGAAGACAUAUGACGUCCAAAAUGAAAAUGAUUAUAUUGAGGAACUUAAUAGCGCAUGUGAAGAAAUUCUUACAAGUAUAGAAUAUGAAGACGAGCAAGAGAUAAAACUUUACAGAUGUCGUAUUAAGUCAUGUACAUUUAGUACAACAGAUAAUGAAUCUCUAAAAUUUCAUAUCAAAUAUUUUUGUCCGUUCAAAGAAUAUUCUUGUAUUUAUUGUACCAAGAAAUUCAAAUCAUUUAAGGAUUUGUCAAUGCAUAAAUAUAAGGCUCACAUGAUGGAAAUCGUUCCUGAAGAUUCAUGGCCCGACAUCAAUUAAUGACGAUUGCAUUUUUGUAAGAUUUUUAAAAAGUAUGUAAGCUUUUUGUAAAUCAAAA